rnacentral:tRNA from 1 species
UGUAGCAUAUCUCAAUGGUAGAGUGGCGUGCGCACAGAAAACAACGAUGAAAGCCGGAUGGUGGUUCGAAUCCACCUGCUACAC